ensembl:snRNA U11 spliceosomal RNA
AAAAAGGGCUUCUGCUGUGUUUUGCACGGGGACAGUGGGGAAAUCCACUUUUCUUGCAGAACUGCAAUCAAGAGAUUUCAGAAGCAUAAUUCUUAAAACAGGGGCUGCUAGUGCUCACUAAUCCAAGCGUCCCG